rnacentral:rRNA from 1 species
UACAGAGGUGCCGAGCGUUAGGCGGAAUCACUGGGCUUAAAGCGUGUGUAGGCGGGUCGUUAAGUGUCUUGUGAAAUCCCACCGCUCAACGGUGGAACGGCUGGGCAUACUGGCGACCUUGAGAGACCCAGGGGCGAGCGGAACAAGCGGUGGAGCGGUGAAAUGCGUAGAUAUCAGGAGGAACACCGAUGGCGAAGGCAGGUCUCUGGGCCACUACUGACGCUGAGAAGCGAAAGCAUGGGGAGCGAACAGG